GGCGCACGGGUUGAGUAACGCGUGGAUAAUCUACCCUUUAGCUGGGAAUAACUCAUCGAAAGGUGGGCUAAUGCCCGAUAAUACUGCUUUUACUGCGGUGAAGCAGUCAAAGGUAGCCUCUGUUUACAAGCUUUCACUAAAGGAUGAGUCCGCGUACCAUUAGCUAGUUGGUAGGGUAAUGGCCUACCAAGGCGACGAUGGUUAGCUGGUCUGAGAGGAUGAUCAGCCACACUGGAACUGAGACACGGUCCAGACUCCUACGGGAGGCAGCAGUGAGGAAUCUUGCGCAAUGGGGGAAACCCUGACGCAGCAACGCCGCGUGAGUGAGGAAGGUUUUCGGAUCGUAAAGCUCUGUCAGGUGGGAAGAAAUGUAUAGGGGUUAACAGCCUUUAUACUUGACGGUACCACCAGAGGAAGCACCGGCCAACUCCGUGCCAGCAGCCGCGGUAAUACGGGG
rnacentral:rRNA from 1 species